rnacentral:rRNA from 1 species
AUGUGGUUUGUACACCAGCAGGUGAUCUUUAUCGAAGAUAACUUAUUAAAGCGGAGAUGGGUAGGCAGUUCGCGCUGUUGUUUUUGUGUUCACGAUGAAACAAUCCAACACUCAGUUCUUGAUUGCCCUCUCGCGAAGUUACUUGUGUUCACGAUGAAACAAUCCAACACCCAUUUCUUGAUUGCCCUCUCGCGAAGUUACUUUGGCGGUCUGUUCAUAUAG